ACGGAUUGAGCCAUAGCAGCGGUUUUGCUCCUCGUGCGCUUGCUUCCAACCAUGGUUGUUUGGAAGGCUUCGGUGGAUUGGAAAAUAGGAGGAACGGAUUCCUUGAGCACGCGUUGAGUAUAACUCGUGCUCUCAAUGAAAGCACCAAAUGUUUGUGCAAAUAAUCUCACAGGAGAAUAUUCGCUUCUAGAUCCUUCAACCUUCGAUCUUCC
rnacentral:lncRNA from 1 species